rnacentral:rRNA from 1 species
GUGACCUCAAAUCAGGUAGGACUACCCGCUGAACUUAAGCAUAUCAAUAAGCGGAGGAAAAGAAACUAACAAGGAUUCCCCUAGUAACUGCGAGUGAAGCGGGAAAAGCUCAAAUUUAAAAUCUGUCAGUCUUUGGCUGUCCGAGUUGUAAUCUAGAGAAGCGUUAUCCGCGCUGGACCGUGUACAAGUCUCCUGGAAUGGAGCGUCAUAGAGGGUGAGAAUCCCGUCUUUGACACGGACUGCCAGGGCUUUGUGAUGCGCUCUCAAAGAGUCGAGUUGUUUGGGAAUGCAGCUCAAAAUGGGUGGUAAAUUCCAUCUAAAGCUAAAUAUUGGCGAGAGACCGAUAGCGAACAAGUACCGUGAGGGAAAGAUGAAAAGAACUUUGGAAAGAGAGUUAAACAGUACGUGAAAUUGCUGAAAGGGAAACGCUUGAAGUCAGUCGCGUUGUCCAGGGAUCAACCUUGCUUUUGCUUGGUGUACUUUCUGGUUGACGGGCCAGCAUCAAUUUUGACUAUUGGAAAAAGAUUGGGGGAAUGUGGCAUCUUAGGAUGUGUUAUAGCCCUUAGUUGCAUACAAUGGUUGGGAUUGAGGAACUCAGCACGCCGCAAGGCCGGGUUUUUUACCACGUACGUGCUUAGGAUGCUGGCAUAAUGGCUUUAAUCGACCCGUCUUGAAACACGGACCAAGGAGUCUAACAUGCCUGCGAGUGUUUGGGUGGAAAACCCGAGCGCGUAAUGAAAGUGAAAGUUGAGAUCCCUGUCGUGGGGAGCAUCGACGCCCGGACUUGACCUUUUGUGACGGUUCCGCGGUAGAGCAUGUAUGUUGGGACCCGAAAGAUGGUGAACUAUGCCUGAAUAGGGUGAAGCCAGAGGAAACUCUGGUGGAGGCUCGUAGCGAUUCUGACGUGCAAAUCGAUCGUCAAAUUUGGGUAUAGGGGCGAAAGACUAAUCGAACCAUCUAGUAGCUGGUUCCUGCCGA